UACGAGGGAUGCAAGCGUUAUCCGGAAUUAUUGGGCGUAAAGCGUUUGUAGGCGGGCGAGUGUGUUUAAUGUUAAAUCUUAAAGCUCAACUUUGAAAUUGCGUUAAAAACUGCUUGUCUUGAGUAUGGUAGGGGUAAAGGGAAUUCCCAGUGUAGCGGUGAAGUGCGUAGAUAUUGGGAAGAACACUAAACAGCGAAGGCACUUUACUAGGCUAAUACUGACGCUGAGAAACGAAAGGUAAGGUAGCGAAACGGAUUAGAUACCCGUGUAGUCUUACCCGUAAACUAUGGACACUAAACGGUAAAUUUUUAAUUUACUGUUAAAGCUAACGCGUUAAGUGUCCCGCCUGGGGAGUAUGCUUGCAAAAGUGAAACUCAAAGGAAUUGACGGGGGCCCGCACAAGCGGUGGAGCAUGUGGUUUAAUUCGACGGUACACGAAGAACCUUACCAGGAUUUGACAUGCUAGAUAGUUGCUUGAAAGAGUAACGUGCCGUAAGGAAUCUAGACACAGGUGGUGCAUGGCUGUCGUCAGUUCGUGUUGUGAAAUGUUGGGUUAAGUCCCGCAACGAACGCAACCCUUGUCUUUAGUUAUUUUCUAAAGAGACUGCCUGUAAUAAACAGGAGGAAGGUAAGGAUGAGGUCAAGUCAUCAUGCCCCUUAUGUCCUGGGCUACACACGUGCUACAAUGGGAAAGACAAUGAGCUGCAAAUCUGUAAAUUUAAGCAAAUCUCUUAAACUUUCUCGUAGUUCGGAUUGUGGGCUGCAACUCGCCCACAUGAAGUUGGAAUCGCUAGUAAUCGCCAGUCAGCUAUAUGGCGGUGAAUCCGUUCCCGGGCCU
rnacentral:rRNA from 1 species